rnacentral:rRNA from 1 species
UCCACGCCGUAAACGAUGAUCACUAGAUGUGGGUCUUGUUUUGCAAGAUCCGUGUCGAAGCUAACGCGUUAAGUGAUCCGCCUGGGGAGUACGGUCGCAAGAUUAAAACUCAAAGGAAUUGACGGGGGUCCGCACAAGCGGUGGAACAUGUGGUUUAAUUCGACACUACGCGAGGAACCUUACCUGGGUUUGACAUGUAUACGCCUGUCAUGGAAACAUGAUUUUCCAAGUUU